AGCCACGCAGUGAGCACAAAGCGAGCUAUUUUUUCGCCUUUUACUAAAGAAUAUUGUGUGCGUGUAAUUAGUGGCAUAUGCUAAUUUUUGGAGGGGUACUACCCUCUUUGAGUACCCC